rnacentral:lncRNA from 1 species
UGAAGGCAUCUUUCUCACACCCUUACUCUCCCAACAGAUGGCAUUUGCGCCAUUGUGCCAGGAUGCUAUGAUUUGCCUUUUGGCUGAAUUCCAGUGCACCAAGGCAGCAAGCUUAUACUCAUUUGCUUGGGAGUAAGACCCACUGUAGUCAGAGGGGCCUCCUUCUGAACAGAUGGGCAUAGGAUUCCAUUAUAAGGAUUGCAAGGCUAGCCAUACUUGCUUCCUGGUUAGCACUGAGAUAAUGUGCUUCACUUCUGAUUAAGCAGGUCUAACUGCAUUUUCAGGGGCAGUCAUCUGCCCACUGCAUUGCCUGACUACAGACAACAUCUGUUGAAUCCAAAAACAUUACUUCUGAGCGAUCAGGCUGAGGAUUACAAUCUCUGAUGGUUAGAAAUAUCUGGGAAGCCAUAGAGCAAAUGUCAAGGUCUCUUUGAAAUGCAGUCUGUCAUUAUAGCACUGCAGAAGUCCAUUACUUCAAGCCUGAGCAAACCAAAUAUAGAAAUCUUUUAAAUAUGGAUAUAAAGUACCAGCACAAUUUUAUCUUCUCAGGCAUUUUCCAGGAUUUUGCUAAUAAAACGUGGUGUUGUUGAAAGAUGUGCUCUGUUUCUCAGAUCUGAAUUCUUUCUUUCGGAAAACAGCGUGACAACUCAGAAGAGGGCAUGCAACACAGCCACCUGUGUGACCCAUCGUUUGGCAGACUUCCUGAGUAGGUCAGGAGGAGUGGGCAAGAACAACUUUGUACCCACCAACGUUGGAUCAAAAGGUUUUGGCAGGCGAAGAAGAAAUGUCCAGAUGUAAUCUGCUGAAUGACCCCUGGAAUAUGGUAAGUGCAUUACAGACAUAUUUCAGCAAUAUCAAUGUCUUACUGAUUUAUAUAAAUUUCAGUGCUUGGCUGGAUGUCAUAUGAAUUCUGGACCUCAUUGAGCAUGAAAAGCAAAAUCUCAAAUCAAGAGCAGGAUUUCACCUUCGGAUAGGAAGCCUGUGUCCCUCUAAAUUUUGUCGGUCUCCAGCUCCUGUAACUCCUUGACUAUUGGCCAUGCUAGCUGGGGAUGAUCAAAGCUGUAGUUUAACAACUUCUGAAAGACUACAGGUUCUUCAUCUUGGCUUGAAAAAAACCAUCCCCUCUCAUCAAUAAAUUACUUGUGGGUUUUUGUUUUUUUUUAACAAAUUCAGGAGGAUAUUUGGGAGAAAGUAUGUAGAUGGUCAUUUUUCCACCUUAAUAUUUAGUUGGAAUAAACAUAGCAGAAUUAGAUCUUCAUAGUUGCAUUUGAUAUUAAUAUGCAUUCCUAUUCAAAAGUAAGCCUCACUGUAUACAGUGGGGGUUAGGAUUGGAGCUGAAAUGGUUUAGCUACAAGAACUGAAAUUUAUUGGCCAAGUAAUGGAUGUUUCAUGGAAGCCAAAAUUACCAAUCAUAAAACAGAAUGAAUUAUUUGUUUAUUGACAUGUACAUCUUAUCAUGCAAUGUAGGCAUUCUGGGGUUGCGUUUAGAAUCCUUGUGUUACUUGCCAUGCAUUUAGUCUGCCCAACUACUGCCAUUUAACGAUUAGUGAAUGAAAUGUGUGAAAUGUCAUGGGAGCGGUAGGAUUUUCUUUUAGAGGUGAAGAUGGUGGUGAGACUCCAUACUCUUGUCUCACUUCCCUGUACUCUAGUUUUUCCACAUACCUCUGGAGUUAGAGUUAGGUUUGGGAGAAAGCUUCAGGCUCCCACCACUUUCCCCUUAUUUUAUUUUAUUUAUUUAACAAAAAGUGCAUACCACUUGUUUGUUAAAACAAUCUGUAAGCAGUUUAAAAAAUAUAAAUAUGGAACAUUAAAAUUCUUGCUUAAAAACAGUUAAAAACAAGUCUAUAAAAGCAUUCAAAAUAGGAAUUAAAAUCAGCAAUAGCUAAGAAAAGAGAGAAAGCACCUGUUACUUCUGUAUGUCUAGAUUUGCUUUCCUAAGCUAGUGUUUAAGGUGCUGCCUCCUUGUGCUGUUACCACAGCAUUGUAUAUUUCUGCAUGGAGAUUUCUCCACUGGGUUGAAAUGGAUGUUGAACUGGCACUGCCUGCUAGCUGUGUUUCUCCUGGAAUGCUUCCAGAUUUUCCUUCCAAGUUGAAGGGUGAGGAAUGGGCACUCUAGAUCCCUGGCCUUGACUUAAGAUUCUCCUCUAGCAUAAUAGCAUGGGGUGAGUUGGCAUCAGUGCAGAAAAGUAGUAAGAAUACGGUGUUGCUCUCAGGCCACCCAAACAAUUUCUGAGUUCUUCUUCUUCUUCCUGUCCUUUGACUCACUUUUGUCAAGACUGGUCCUGAGAUGGCUCAGAUAUUGUAGAAGUGGAUCACCUUGUUUUCUCCAUCAUUUAGGUUGCCUGAGGUUCUAAUACCUCACCAAUCUGAAUAGAUGACUUGUGAGAUAGUACAUUUUUAAUGAAUUUUUUUUUCUAAUUUAAAUGCUGAAAAAUGAAUCUGGUCAUCCUUAGGCAUAUCAUAACUGCCCUAAUAUCCUUCCAGCAAAGGCUUCCUAAAGCAAACCCCUUUGAUGGUUUUGUAUGAGGCGCGGCAAUCAGUUACCCAGUCUCCUAAUUACUCAGUGGGUCAUUUCUGGGACAUAUGGAUAAGCUUGUCCUGUCUUCCAUAUAAUGCUCAGGUAACUGAAAAUAUUUUUUUGGGUGGAUGCAGUCCAAUGCUCCCUGAGAAGAGGGCCAAGAUGCCAUGGACUUCCCUGGAAUUCCCAGCACUGCCAGAGGUCUACCUGAUGCAGUGGAAAAAAGUGCCACCACCAAUGUUUCUGUACUGGCAUUGGGGCCUGGCACAGGGUGUUUGGCGUGUGUGCCAAGAAAGGCUUUCACCUUGAAGCCCCUCAUUCUCCCCUCCCCCCAAGAAAUAGCAGGAAAAGAAAAGCUACAUGGUAGGGCAUAGGUAGCUCCAUCAAAGAUUACCCUCCACGGGAUUGCUCUAUCAAAUAUGUGUAACAUCUAAUUUGAUUUCUUUCAGAUUGCCAUGAAACUGAGCAGCAAACGCCUUUUAAUUUCUCUUGAAAGCAACUUUCUUCCAUAAAUCAAGAUGGCCGAAUAAAAGACUCAUUUUUGCAUCCUUCUAAUAUUGAAGAAAUGUUUUUGUUUUGAAAUUAAAUUGAAGCACUUCUGUUAUAUAUAUAAGAGAUAUAUAUAUCUCAAGAUAAUUAUUCAAAUUAAAUUAUUGUAUAUUCUUUUUAUAUGCAGUUCUAUUUCAAAUAAAAUGUGACAGCAUCUAUUUAUUUACUUAUUUAUCUUCUAGCAUAUCUGUGAAAUAUGACCCAUGCUAUUUAUCUUGGCAACACUGCCAAAUCUCGGGGAUUACACUAAAUUGCUGCCUAUCAAGGUAUAUCUGUAAGAUAUGGUGUGCUGUGCCUUGAUGUAAAACAGUUAACUGAC